rnacentral:lncRNA from 10 species
UGCCAUAAUUGGAAGUUUUCUGAAGCCUCCCAAGCCAUGCUUUCUGUACAUCCAGCAGAACUGAUGGAGUAACAUGAUGUACCAAAUCUACAGAAGAAUAUCAAAGACAUUAAGGAAGUAAUUAUAUUAGGAAGAAGAGAAAGAGAGCCAACAAAGGGUAGAAGUUGAAGUGCAUUACAUGUGACCAGUUAUUAGGGUCUCAAACCAUCUCGGAACAUGCUGUUGGAUGCACGUAUACUCUGAGUGAAAUGCUUAAUUGUUGUAGUGAUGUGAAGAAGAAAGGUGGUGGAAUGACAUGGAAGAUGAGGAAGAGUUGCUAUUUGAAAAGAGAGGGACAACCAUCAUUGAGAAACACUAGAAUUAGGGUAAAUAAAAGGCUCAGAGACUGUAGACCCCUGAGAAUUGGACAACAUCUUUGAAGGUUGACAAAAUUCUAUUGAAUGUGGGUUUAUAUGCAAUUUCACCAAAAACUCAGGUGGCAGAGAGCUCUUCAAUUGAUAUUUAGCUUAUGGUCUUGUAGUAUGUGGAGGCCAAAAGAGCUGAGAAGUUACAACUAAACCUCAUCUGAAGUCUCAUUAGCAAUUCUAGAAAAUAUAAUAUGAUAUAUAGAGGGCAACCUAAUCUUUCACAGUUUGAUAGGGCUUUGAAAGAUAUAAAUCUUUAGAACCUACUUUUUUAUUCCUUAAUAAAAUUAAGUCUAGAGUCAGCCUUGCAGUUGUUGUUGAGAAAAACAUUAUGUAAUAUGUGAUAUAGAAAUUAACCAUGACCUUGCCUAGACUAUAAUGAUGUAGCAUUAAUUUUUUAUUCUAUUUUAGAGAUAAAAAUUAAGCAAUGGUCAGUAUAUUCUUGUGAAUUCCUUCCUAAAGGUAUGAUGGUUUUAAUUAUGAUGGUCUUCUGACAGAAUGCUCUAAACUCAAGUCAAUUAUUAAAAUGCUGCUUCUGGUAAAACAUAUAUACAUUCGUGUACCUUAGUGAUAAUCACACUGGGACAAUUCAGAUUGAAAAUGUGUACCACCUGCUUCUAUUUGAGUUAUAAAUUAAGGUUCAAAUACCAUAAAUAAGAAUGCUGAAUCACAUUGGCAGGUGAUAUUGUCAAAUGGAUACACUCCCUUUUUUCUUAUAUUUCCAUUAUGUUGCAUAUAGACACAGCUUCAUAGUCAGAGACUUAUCCUUUUCUACUAUUUUUAUACUAACUUUAUAGCUAUAAUUACUCUUGGCCAUGGGUUUCAGAAUGGCAUUAACUUCUUGCAAGCUGUUAUUAAGUAAUAUCAGGAAGCCAAAUCAUUCUCAGUUCAAUUUCCAGUAGAGGUAAUCCUCUCUCAUUUAACUGACUAGUAAAUUGGAAAGAAAAAAAAAGCCUACAACCUAACAGCAUGAGAUUAAGUGUAAUGAAAAUAUGCCAGAUAUUUGUAUAAAAUGACAAAUGUUGGUUUUUGGAUAUUUGGUUCCCAUUAAAUUUAACAUAUAUUACUUGAGACAAAUGUCAAUAUUUGGCAUAUUUAUCAACGUAAAUUGAGGAGUUUGGUCUGUCUUUACUCAAAAUAUUUUACAUGCUUUGGGCAGGACAAGGAGAGUCUCUGUUUACUCAAUAAAUUUUCCAUUUCUAAAAGCUGAAUUUCAUUUUUUAAAUAACUGACUGUAUAGGCUAUUUAUAAAACAUUUUUUUCUUAAGUCUGAGGUUUAGGAGAAAAUAUUAGUCUUAUUAUUUAAUGCCCAACAUUUAAUUUUCACUAAGCAAGAAGAGUAAAUAAAAUUUUUAAAUAAGUUAAUAACUAACUAUGUUCUGUCAUGCAAAGUUUGAAAUGUAUUAUUUCACCAUGUACCCAAUAACAAUUACACCUAAAAAUAAAACAAACUCAUGUCAUGGGG